CUGGUUGAUCCUGCCAGUAGUCAUAUGCUUGUCUCAAAGAUUAAGCCAUGCAAGUCUAAGUAUAAGCAAUUAUACUGUGAAACUGCGGAAAGCUCAUUAUAUCAGUUAUAGUUUAUUUGAUGGUACCCUUACUACAUGGAUAACCGUAGUAAUUCUAGAGCUAAUACAUGCCCGGUAACACUGAUCCUUCGGGAGAGGUGCGGACUUAUUAGAUACAAAGCCAAUCCCGCUUCGGUGGGUCUUUGGUGGAAUCAUAGUAAUUCCUCGAAUCGCAUGUCUUCGGACGGCGAUGGGUCAUUCAAAUUUCUGCCCUAUCAGCUGUGAUGUUAGUGUAGUGGACUAACAUGGCUAAAACGGGUGACGGGGGAUUAGGGUCUGAUUCCGGAGAGGGAGCCUGAGAAAUGGCUACCACUUCCAAGGAAGGCAGCAGGCGCGUAAAUUACCCAAUCCCGACACGGGGAGGUAGUGACAAGAAAUAACAAUACCGGAUAUCUAAAAUGUCUGGUAAUUGGAAUGAGUACAAUUCAAAAUCCGUUAACAAGAACCAAUUGGAGGGCAAGUCUGGUGCCA
rnacentral:rRNA from 1 species